rnacentral:rRNA from 1 species
UAAGACGAAGGUGGCGAGCGUUAUUCGGAUUUACUGGGCAUAAAGCGCGCGUAGGCGGCUCGACAAGUCGGGGGUGAAAGCCCGCAGCUCAACUGCGGUGUGCCUUCGAAACUGUCGAGCUUGAGUGCAGGAGGGGUGAUUGGAACUCCAGGUGUAGCGGUGAAAUGCGUAGAUAUCUGGAGGAACACCAGAGGCGAAGGCGAAUCACUGGACUGCAACUGACGCUGAGGCGCGAAAGCUAGGGGAGCAAACAGGAUUAGAUACCCUGGUAGUCCUAGCUGUAAACGAUGGGCACUAGGCAGUGGAGGUCCGAUGCCGUCACUGUCGAAACGAAUGCGAUAAGUGCCCCGCCUGGGGAGUACGGCCGCAAGGCUG